rnacentral:rRNA from 1 species
AGUGAACGCUGGCGGUAGGCCUAACACAUGCAAGUCGAACGGCAGCACAGUAAGAGCUUGCUCUUACGGGUGGCGAGUGGCGGACGGGUGAGGAAUACAUCGGAAUCUACUUUUUCGUGAGGGAUAACGUAGGGAAACUUACGCUAAUACCGCAUACGACCUACGGGUGAAAGCAGGGGAUCUUCGGACCUUGCGCGAUUGAAUGAGCCGAUGUCGGAUUAGCUAGUUGGCGGGGUAAAGGCCCACCAAGGCGACGAUCCGUAGCUGGUCUGAGAGGAUGGUCAGCCACACUGGAACUGAGACACGGUCCAGACUCCUACGGGAGGCAGCAGUGGGGAAUAUUGGACAAUGGGCGCAAGCCUGAUCCAGCCAUACCGCGUGGGUGAAGAAGGCCUUCGGGUUGUAAAGCCCUUUUGUUGGGAAAGAAAAGCAGCAGGUUAAUACCCCGCUGUUCUGACGGUACCCAAAGAAUAAGCACCGGCUAACUUCGUG